GGAGGAGCGAACGUUGUUCGGAAUUACUGGGGCGUAGAGGGGCGUGUAGGCGGUCGGGUCAGUCAGGUGUGAAAGGGCUACUGCUCAACAGUAGAUCUGCAUUUGAUACUGCUCGACUGGAGGUCAGGAGAGGAGAGCGGAAUUCCCAGUGUAACGGUGGAAUGCGUAGAUAUUGGGAAGAACACCAGUGGCGAAGGCGGCUCUCUGGACUGAUUCUGACGCUGAGGCGCGAAAGCUAGGGGAGCAAACAGGAUUAGAUACCCCGGUAGUCCUAGCCGUAAACGAUGGGCACUAGGUGCUGGGAAUAUCGACAUUUUCAGCGCCGUAGCUAACGCAUUAAGUGCCCCGCCUGGGGAGUACGACCGCAAGGUUG
rnacentral:rRNA from 1 species